rnacentral:rRNA from 1 species
UGGGGAAUAUUGGACAAUGGGCGGAAGCCUGAUCCAGCAACGCCGCGUGAGGGAUGACGGCCUUCGGGUUGUAAACCUCUUUCAGUACCGACGAAGCGAUCCGUUUGGGGAGUGACGGUAGGUACAGAAGAAGGACCGGCCAACUACGUGCCAGCAGCCGCGGUAAUACGUAGGGUCCGAGCGUUGUCCGGAAUUAUUGGGCGUAAAGGGCUCGGAGGCGGUUUGUCGCGUCGGGAGUGAAAACAGCCA